AUGUAUAUCGCUUAACAAAGUGAUCUGGACGGGAGUUCACAGCAUAUAAAUUUGGAUUUUGUUGGAUAAUUAUGAGAAAAUGUUUAGAUAAACAGAAAGAAUUAUCCUGACUGUUGUGUCACUUUUGUUGUGUAGCAUACGUGGAAGCAAAAGAUAUGAUGAAUUCUAUCUUUCUUUUGCUUCCCUCGCCAAUGGCCCUUGAUGUUGAAGAUUGUGGCAAGUUGAAGACCGUCUCUUUUUGAAUAGCUUGUGCAGCAGGUACCUACUACAUCAACUGGAUAGACUAUGGGUAUUGCACACUUACAAGGAGCAAAGUCAAGUGGCAGACAAACUAGCUAAAUAUGGAGCUACCAAGAUCAUAAUGACCCAACUACUGGUUUUGUGCAACCACCUUCUUUUGUAAUACAAGUGUUAUUAGCAGACCAACAGGGAACACUCCAAAGGCGCACUACACGUACAAUUAUGCCGUUGGAACCCAUUUCUUUUUGUUUAGAGAACUUGACAAACUCUUGUAAUAGUAACAACCUACUAUUUCGUAAUGUAGCACACAAUGGAGGCAGUGACCAUUCUUAUUUUUGUAACACUGAACCACCACGGACUUUGCUCCUUGUGAUACCACUUAAUCUAUGAUAUGUGCCUUUUGAUUGACCAAAAAAAAG